GGUUCGAUGGCGUAGUUGGUUAUCGCAUCUGUCUAACAUUCAUAACACAGUCUGCUGUGCUGUCCAUUUGUUGCACAGAAGAUCCCCAGUUCGAGCAUGGGUCGAAUCA